rnacentral:rRNA from 1 species
CAUGCAGGCGGUCAGGCGCGUUUUGUGUGACAGCGGAGGGCUUAACUCUCCGAGGAUACGAGAUACGGCGUGACUUGAGAGCGCGAGAGGGACACGGAAUUCCGGGUGGAGUGGUGAAAUGCGUAGAGAUCCGGAGGAACACCGAAGGCGAAGGCAGUGUCCUGGCGCGUAUCUGACGCUGAGGUGCGAAAGCCAGGGGAGCGAACGGGAUUAGAUACCCCGGUAGUCCUGGCCGUAAACGAUGACCACUAGGUGUAGGAGGUAUCGACCCCUUCUGUGCCGUAGUUAACACAAUAAGUGGUCCGCCUGGGGAGUACGGUCGCAAGAUUAAAA